UUCGCAAUGCCCGAAAGGGUGACGAAGCGACGCCGCGUGCGGGAAGAAGGCCUUCGGGUUGUAAACCGCUGUCGGGAGUUAAGAAAUGUAAGGAUGUUAAUAGCAUCUUUGCUUGACUAAGGCUCCGGAGGAAGCCACGGCUAACUCUGUGCCAGCAGCCGCGGUAAUACAGAGGCGGCAAGCGUUGUUCGGAAUUAUUGGGCGUAAAGAGCACGUAGGCGGCUAUGUAAGUCGGUUGUGAAAGCCUUCCGCCCAACGGGAGAACAGCAUCCGAUACUGCAUGGCUUGAGUGCGGGAGGGGAGAGUGGAACUUCUGGUGGAGCGGUGAAAUGCGUAGAUAUCAGAAGGAACGCCGGCGGCGAAAGCGGCUCUCUGGCCCAUAACUGACGCUGAGUGUGCGAAAGCUAGGGGAGCAAACGGGAUUAGAUACCCCGGUAGUCCUAGCCGUAAACGAUGGGCACUAAGUAGAGGGGUUUU
rnacentral:rRNA from 1 species